rnacentral:rRNA from 1 species
AACGGAGGGAACGAGUGUUAUUCGUAUUGAUGGGUGUAAAACGUGUGUAGAUGGUGCUUUUUGUUUUAUUUUAAAGGCUUUUUAAAAAAUUGUAAAAUAUUAAUACGGAAGCACUGGAGUGUUUAUGAAAUAACAGUAUCUUAAGUGUAAGGUGAAAUUUUAAAAAUAUUUUUGAGACUAACAUUAGACGAAAGUGGUGUUAAGAAGCAUACUGACAUUGAGGCACUAAAGCUUAGUAGCAAAUAGG